rnacentral:rRNA from 1 species
CCUACGGGAGGCAGCAGUGAGGAAUAUUGGUCAAUGGGCGCAAGCCUGAACCAGCCAUCCCGCGUGCAGGAUGACGGCCCUAUGGGUUGUAAACUGCUUUUGUACAGGAAGAAAAAUCCCGAUGUAUCGGGACUUGCCGGUACUGUGCGAAUAAGCAUCGGCUAACUCCGUGCCAGCAGCCGCGGUAAUACGGAGGAUGCAAGCGUUAUCCGGAUUCAUUGGGUUUAAAGGGUGCGUAGGCGGCUAUUUAAGUCAGUGGUGAAAUCUUGCCGCUU